rnacentral:lncRNA from 1 species
GUCCACGUUAUGGCUGAGGACAGGGAUACUGUCACUUCCCAGGGGUUUCUCAAACCCGUCCACUUGCUUGGAUCACCUACUUAUUCCGACAUUUUCAUUUAACCUUUAUAUGUUCCUGGGACUUUAUUUAUUCAGGGUGUAUAACCUCAGCUCAUGGGAUGUUUUUGCCCAAAGCAGGACAGAGAUAACCAUUUCUCUCAGAAAUAAAUCUUUGUGAGCUUUGUACCACAGUUUAGUGUAUUUACAAGUCUUUGAGGUAAACUUUCAAUCAGAAUAUGGCAAGUAAGGUCAUCUUGAGGCCCAGUGACACUGUUGCUAUUAUUACAUCACUCAGUUAUCCAGUUCAGAGGAUGGGAAAGCCCUAAAGGUGGUGACCAGGGGCCUCCAUGCAAUGCUUAGGUGGUGUUAACUCAGGACAGUUAAAUAACCCAUCAGUUUGGGGCAGGAAAAAUGGAAAUUAAAUUAAUUGAUCUGUUCACUCAAAAAAUUGGUCCUGAGAGCUGCAAGGAGUUUUCUCCUUAGAGAAAAGAAAGUCUGUUCCCAAUAUUGAGACAAGAAUUUAUCUGAGACAUAAUAGUCUUUCUUAGAGGGUGACGGACAGAGUUUACUUACCCAAACUGUUUUGAUUAUGUUUUCUAAGCGUAACAGUGUAUAAAAAUUUGGAAGAAGACUUCAAGUACAGCAUUAUAGAGGAUGAUGAUGAUGAUAGCAGUAAUAAUAAUAGUCACGUAUAUCCCUGAAUAUAUGCAUCUUUGCAAUGUGAAUUUGCUACUCCUCCUGCGAAGACUUAGAGUCUCUUUCUCUACCCACUUGAAUCUGACUGGGCUGUGGCUUUCUUUGACCAGUAGAAUGGCCUGGGCUAGUCUCCUUGAGGAUGAGAGACCACGUGGAGCAGAGACAUGAACCACCCAGCCUGCCUGUAGCCCAUCAGUGUGAAGGAGGCCACCUGGGACCUCCAGCUCCAGCUGACGCACCAGCUGCCUGCAGACCCACUGACUUGUAAACAAUAAAAUUGUUAUUGUAAGCCUUCAAUUUGAGUGUCCUUUACUGAAGCAAUAGAUAACGGUUAUAUAUAGUCUCACCCUAAUACACACAUACACGUUUUAAAAUGUAAAUAUAUCUCUGGGCGAUGGGAUUAUGCG